CCACGACUAAGAAGCGGAUCUCUUUCCCUGGCAGCACCAUCCCAGAGCCCCAGCUCUGGCUGCACAGUGAUCGUGUCACAGCUGUAGUGCACACACAUGCCCAGGACGUCACUGGCUGGCAGAAUCACACCAAAGCAGCUCACCCGGCUAAAGGUCUCACUGUCAACCCUCUGCUGGCCUCUCAACAAGCAAAACAAGGUGAUUGCAUCCCACGCCACAGAGGUUAAACCCAGGCUAGUGCCCCAGAGGGCUCUGAUGGGCAGAGCAGGCUCAGCCCCAGCCCCAGCCAGAGCAGUGCCAAGGUGCCAGCACCUCCAUCAGCACUGGUGCCUGUGCCACACCCAGCCCUCCAGGCAGGCACAGCUCCCAGGGGCUCUCCAGUGGGUGAACACACUGCAACUAGACAUGUUUUAUGUCCCAAGCUGUCUGGAGGUCCCCUGCUGAUGUGGAGCAAGUCACUCACUCUCAUCACUGCCCUGCCUCUGCCCGAGCUGUGCCCACACUGCUGCAAUCCCAAAGAGCAAGGGCAGGAGACAAAGGAGGAGAUUUACACAGCCCCUGUCACACCAACACUGCCUAAAGCUGGCUCCUGGUGCCCAGCAAGCAUCACCCCAGAGCCACUGAUUAACAGAACACACCGAGCAGAGGGACGGGACAUUUUAAUUACCCAGACAGUGAACCAUGCAUGUUUUUAACUUCUGUCUGCAAAGGUACUACAAGUCAUCACCCCCAGAGUCUGGGAAUGGGGACCUGGGGGUUUAAUCCUGUGUCAGGGAAAAGCCAUUCAUUCCUCAGCCCCAGAACCCGACUGCUAGGACCUGAAAACUCAGCCCUGGCUUUGCCACCUCCUUAUGUUGUGCCUUUGGAGAAGUCACUUCAAUAUUCCCUGUGGUCUGUCUGCAUCCCCCUCACUUCUUUGCCCCCUCCUCUGAGUUUUCGUACCACAACUCAGCUUGUUAGAGCCAAAAACUGUCUGGGACAAAAGCUGACAAAAGCUGUUACUUCCUAUUAUUCCAAUUUCCUGUGCUGCAAACACAGGGAAGGAGAGGUUCUGGUUUCCAAAGGAGCAAUUCUGCACAUUCAGGGAACACAGCCAUCAUCUGAGACGCACAUCUCGGAUUUUACCUCCUCAUCUCCAAGGAGGGUUUGCUGGGGACACUGGUGACCACACCUGAAGGCACCACCUGCUCCAAGGUGACAGGAUCUCACCUCACCCUCGUGAUAACCAGAGCAGGAGAGGCACGCACCAGCAGAUGGAUGGGGAAGGAGGAGGUUAAAACCUGUGGUCCAGGCUGGAAAAUAUCCUCACUGCCCUGUAGCAUGUGCUCUCCAGCCCUGCUGCUGUGACUGACACCCACCAAGACAUGACCUGCCAGCGCAUCCACCAGGUGUUAAUGCACACCUCGGGAAUGGGGCACAGGCAGGCUCUCUUGGCAGGCACACACACCUAUUUAAAGUGUCAGUAAAUUCUCGGGAACAGGAGAGUAAAUUCUCAAAAAGGAAUGAGCAGAUAAGUGAGCACCCCGCUCGGGCAUGGAGCUCAGCACACAGCUGGACAAAGGGCACCAGCAAGAUCCUCUCUGCUUUUCUCUGGGCAGGCUGCAAGGCUCAGGCUCCUUGCUCUGUCCUCCCACGGCAUUUCCAAAGUGAGAGAAAAGGCACCUUGGGGUGACACGGGGCAAAAUCCACCCAAACCGGCUCUGGGGAGGGGUUUUCCUCAGGGGAAAAUGAAGAGUCCAGGGACUUGUCCCUCUCUCAGUGAGCCACUGUGACCGAAGGUCAGGGCCGGGAUGGGGUCCCAGGCAAAGCCCUCGCAGUGGCAGGAGCAGCCAGGGACCCCGUGCAUGUCACAGACCCUGCUCCUGUCAGCAGCUCCUGAACUCCUGGUAAUAAAUUCUUCAUAACAACAAACCUUCAUUAAAAUUUUAUUUUAUUAAUGUUCUGAAAUCAAACCAAAGCACUGAGUACAUAAUGACUGAGAUGCACACUACGCUGAGCUUACUAAAUGCCACUUUUAUCAUAUUGUUAAUUAACAGAAACGAUUAAUGUGCUCGCAGAUCAUUUAGAAGCAUUAGCAGUGACCUAAGAAAAAUUGCAGGUACGUGUGAUACAUCUGCACUUUUCCAUCAGAAUUUUCUACGCAGGAGGCCCUGAAGUUUGCUCCCAGUCCAGCUUCUCUCUGUUGGGGACAUCUGUGUCACAACGGGCACAGAUCUGUCAGCAGCUCAGGAAUUAAAGCAUCAGGCUGGAAUGGGAGAUACCGUAGGAGCAAAUUACCUCCACCUUUUCUUUUUCCUCAGUAUUUGGGAGCAGCCCCACCCUCACAGCCUUUCACUGCUCCCUGUUACUCAGGUACAGAUCUCCCAGC